rnacentral:rRNA from 1 species
UACAGAGGUCCCAAGCGUUGUUCGGAUUCACUGGGCGUAAAGGGUGCGUAGGUGGUCAGGUAAGUCGGAUGUGAAAUCUCCGAGCUCAACUCGGAAACUGCAUUGGAAACUACCUGGCUCGAGGGUUGGAGGGGGGACUGGAAUGCUUGGUGUAGCAGUGAAAUGCGUAGAUAUCAGGAAGAACACCCGUGGCGAAGGCGGCUCUCUGGGACGGUACUGACGCUGAGACGCGAAAGCGUGGGGAGCAAACAGG